GGGGGGUUAGCUCAGAUGGGAGAGCGGCACGUUCGCAACGUGCAGGCCACCGGUUCGAUCCCGGUACCCUCCACCA
rnacentral:tRNA from 5 species